rnacentral:rRNA from 7 species
UUGACCUCAAAUCAGGUAGGAUUACCCGCCGAACUUAAGCAUAUCAAUAAGCGGAGGA